CAUACGGACUGGGGAGCUGACAGAGAUACUUUGCUGCUGCUAUAUCGGAGUCUAAUUCGAUCCAAGCUAGACUACGGAUCCAUAAUAUAUGGAGCAGCAAGGAAGUCGUACCUAAAAAUACUGGAACCAAUACAAAAUGCUGCCCUGCGUCUCUGUCUCGGCGCGUUUCGUACAUCACCUACCCCAAGCCUCCAUGUGGAGGCUGGAGAACUCCCCAUGGAUAUAAGAAUGAAAAAGCGUGCAAUGCAGUAUAUAGUCAAGCUAAAAUCCAACCCUACGAACCCUGCUUUCGAUUCCAUAUUUAACCCCACAGAGGUAGAGUUAUACAAUCGAAGGCCUAACGUCAUACAGCCGUUAGGCCUUCGAAUGAGAGAACCCAUCCAAAAUUUAAUUCCACCCAUUAACCAAAUCUCUAAAAUAGAAACCCCUCAUAAUCCUCCUUGGCUAAUGAAUAAACCCAAAUUAAAUUUAUCCCUCCUUAAUUUCAAAAAAGAAAAUACAGACCCAAGCAUACUACAAGUCCACUUUAGGGAACUGCAAGAUAGCUACGGAGAUUGUGGCACCAUCUACACAGACGGAUCCAAAAUGGAUGGAAAGGUCGCGUGUGCCUGCUCCUUUCGGAACAAAACAAUCUCCCGUAGACUCCCCGAUGGCUGCUCCAUCUUUACGGCCGAAUUGCAUGCAAUAUCGCUUGCACUUAUGGCCGUCAAAGCAUCAGAAAGGAGGAAAUUUAUAAUCUGCUCCGACUCCAAAUCUGCAUUGCAAGCUUUGGGGCGGAUGAAGACUGACAUUCCACUGGUACAUAUGAGCCUGAAGCUGUUGGACCAAAUAACAGCCGACCAUACGGAUGUCACCUUCAUCUGGGUCCCCUCCCAUGUGGGCAUUGAGGGAAACGAAGCCGCAGACAGAGAAGCAAAGAGAGCCCUAAAUCUUGCGGUGUCAGGAACUCAAAUUCCCUGCUCAGACCUGAGACAAAGUAUUGCCUCUGCCAUCUACCAAGAGUGGCAGGACCGAUGGGAGGCUGAGACUCACAAUAAACUCAGGCAGAUUGUGGCGGAUGUCAGGUGGCGGUCCACAUCUAAGGGUCUGACAAGGCGUGGUAGCACGACCAUGUCCAGACUUAGGAUUGGCCACACCUACAUCACGCACUCUUUUGUGCUGAAGAAAGAAGAGCCCCCACUUUGUGAGUAUUGUGACUCUCGCCUCACCGUGGAACAUAUCCUCAUCGACUGCCCCAGAUACCAGGAUGUCAGGGAAAAAUAUUUUAGAGCCACUAAUUUAAAAACACUAUUCAAUAAUGCCGACCCUGGGAAGGUACUGGGCUUUAUCCGAGAAGUGGGGUUGUCUACGAAGAUCUGAUUUAUGAAUUCUGUAGACAUGCACUAUUUACAUU